GCAGAGCACUCCUACGGGAGGCAGCAGUGGGGAAUAUUGCACAAUGGGGGAAACCCUGAUGCAGCCAUGCCGCGUGUGUGAAGAAGGCCUUCGGGUUGUAAAGCACUUUCAGUAGGGAGGAAGGUAGUGUAGUUAACACCUGCAUUAUUUGACGUUACCUACAGAAGAAGCACCGGCUAACUCCGUGCCAGCAGCCGCGGUAAUACGGAGGGUGCGAGCGUUAAUCGGAAUUACUGGGCGUAAAGCGCAUGCAGGCGGCCUGUUAAGUCAGAUGUGAAAGCCCCGGGGCUUAACCUCGGAAUUGCAUUUGAAACUGGCAGGCUAGAGUCUUGUAGAGGGGGUAGAAUUUCAGGUGUAGCGGUGAAAUGCGUAGAGAUCUGAAGGAAUACCAGUGGCGAAGGCGGCCCCCUGGACAAAGACUGACGCUCAGAUGCGAAAGCGUGGGGAGCAAACAGGAUUAGAUACCCUGGUAG
rnacentral:rRNA from 1 species